UUUCCUGUACUUUGCUUCAAUCUCCUUGCGAAGCUGAUCAGUUAGUGGUGGGCCCAAAUCCCUAAGAGUCCGGAGUUCUCGAAGUUUCUCUUCAAGCUUUUGACGAUGGGCCAUUUGCUCUGCAUCUUUUGCUUGGAUAUCUUUAUUUUGCUUCGAUAGAACUGAGUUGGAUUGGGUCAGAUCUUCGAUUUUCUUCGCCAAAAUUUCGUUUUUC
rnacentral:lncRNA from 1 species